CGUUGAAGUUUGGGUCCUUCGCAAUGAGAACCUUUGAACCGUGUCAGGUCCGGAAGGAAGCAGCACUAAGAAGUAAAUCUCAUGUGACGAAGGGAAGCCUGGAUGGAGCAAACUACU
rnacentral:SRP_RNA from 1 species